GUCGGGAAUAUUGCGCAAUGGAGGAAACUCUGACGCAGUGACGCCGCGUAUAGGAAGAAGGUUUUCGGAUUGUAAACUAUUGUCGAUAGGGAAGAUAAAAGACUGUACCUAUCAAGAAAGCUCCGGCUAACUACGUGCCAGCAGCCGCGGUAAUACGUAGGGAGCAAGCGUUAUCCGGAAUUAUUGGGUGUAAAGGGUGCGUAGACGGGAUGUCAAGUUAGUUGUGAAAUACCUCGGCUCAACUGAGGAACUGCAACUAAAACUAACAUUCUUGAGUGCAGGAGAGGAAAGUGGAAUUCCUAGUGUAGCGGUGAAAUGCGUAGAUAUUAGGAAGAACAUCGGUGGCGAAGGCGACUUUCUGGACUGUAACUGACGUUGAGGCACGAAAGUGUGGGGAGCAAACAGGA
rnacentral:rRNA from 1 species